rnacentral:lncRNA from 1 species
GUAAAUACUUCUUACUUAAAAAAAUAACUAUCUUCCCAAACGUCAUCACUAUAAGAAAAUAAAUUAUUUCACUUAGAAAUUCAGUGUGGAAUUAGCCUUCAGUUAACUAACAACUAACAGUUUCAUUUGAAGUGGAAAUGAUAAUCUAAUUAAAUCCAGUUAUUAAACACAUCAAAUAAAGGGUGAAACUGCAUGAGGUACUAAAUAUACAAAUAUAAUUUAUAUAUAUAUAGUAUUAGGAUACGCUUGUUCAUUUGGCUCUAAAGAACAAUCACACUAAGGAAAAAAAAUGACCCCUGUCAGGAGAGACAUGUUAUUUAUAAUCAUUCUACUUUGGGUUUUAUGUUGUUUUCUGAAAUAUAUAUUUUCCCAUUGAUCUGUUCAAUUAGAUCUUCAUAGAUACUACACUUCUUAUUUUUAAUGUCAACAGAAUGCCUCAAAGAAAAAUGACUCUCCACUUUCAAUUUCUGGGUUAGCCAUGGGGGCAAGUCAUGUUUUGCCAUCUGAACAUAAAAGGGAGAUUGAACAGAAGAGAUCAAAAUCCUGGCUAGCUUUUACAUAUGUUUUUAUGUUGGGCAAUUCUGUUACCCUCUCAGCUCUUCUGAUAACCACUGAACAUAUCACUUAAGGGAAAAUGCAUUUAAUCCUCUUGCAGAUUUCAUCAGGAGACCCCAGAAGGUCAAGAAGGGUACCCACAAAUUAAAGCAGCCCCCGUUUCUCUUCAGCUCACCCUAUGUCUUUGGUAUAAUACAAACACAGAGGUCAGGUCUGACUCACCACCACAAAACCACCUCUGCCAUGCUCUGCGACAUUCUUUACAGACGGUCUCAGAAAACACCAGGGCCCCUCCAGCCAGACCAGUCAGUGCAAAUCAGUCUUAUUCUUGACAAACAGCAUUCAUAUCCCUGCUGUCAGGUUCAUCGCAGUGGGCUCAGAGUUCUGUUUGAGAAAUGCUCCUGCCCAGAAAAAAUAUUUACACAACGGAGAGUAGGCUGCACUGCACCACAGCCGUCUACCUUCUCUGCCACGAGACUUAGACUCUCUCUGAUUGACCAGCUCUUAUCUGUGGCCUUUGUACCUCAUUUAACAUCAGCAUGGAAACAAAACUUGGAGCCAAAUAACUGACGAGNUAACAAGAUUUUAUGAAAGUUAUUUAAACAUUUUAAAUUAAAUAUUUUUAUGAAAGUUAUUUAAUUUAAAAUGACAACCAAAUGGUUAAUGCAGUUCAGUAAGUAUAUUGAAUGAGUAAAUAUGUAUCUGCCUGGGAAAAUAUACAUAUGUUUAGGCUGUGAGAGAGAAUAGCAAGAGGGGAGAAACUGUAAUAGACUAGCAAAGGCAAGUAUUAGAAAAAAUACAAAUGGUGAUGGCAAGCAUAAAAAGUCAUUCACUAAGGCUCAUAUACUUAUUUCAUUUAACUGUCAGACACAAGACAAUAAUUCAGUUCUUUCCCCAACAUCCCAGCAUCUGACAGAGCCUGGCACAUGGCACCUGAGCAGGUGUUUAUUAGAUCAUGACAGAGAUAGCAGGACAAGGAGGAUGGUGAUUGAUCCUGACUUCUGACCAGCACUUUACAUCUUAAAAAGUGUUUUGACGGUUAUUGUUUUAUUUUUCCUUCAUAACAAUCCUGUAAAGAAGGUAGGACAAGUAUUAUUAUCUUUAUCUGACAAAUAAGCCACUUGUUAUUUGGCUUCUAAAGAGACUCAACUCUAAUUAAAGUUUCACAACAUUAAUUAGUGUUUAGAGAGGCAUCAAUCAGUACACUGUUUACAACACAAUGGGAAAGCUUGGUAAAAAGCAGACUGUCCCUAUCCCUAAAUUCUACAGAAUACACCAAUUUUUCUAAUCAAUGACUCCCAUUUACUUACUUGGCUAUAAAGAAAGAGAACGGUAAGUCAUAAGCAAUUUAUGAUGUUCAUACCUCAUUACAUUAACAAAUGACAUUAGUGUACUCUUAGUAAUACCAUAAUAAAAUACUCUAAAUUAAUGAAAACAACACUGGAUCAAUCAACAGAAGUAGGAUGAAGGAUGUGGUGAAAAAGAAAAUUGUGACAAACAAUUGAUAAUGAG